GAGAGGGCGAGAGAUGAGCGGCGGCGACGGCGCAUCUCCCGAUUUCCGUGGACUCCAACUAUCGGGAAUAUUACCUAGUGGUACCAGAACCCAGUACGGUCUCCCGGUUGGAGCUUUUCCCUCCAGGACUUCUCUCUCCUUUGGGAAGCUUUGUUUCAGUUCCUUGCAGCUCCUUGGCCAGACAACUUUUCCUUUCGUUUUUAAGAGCUGGUCAGAGGAUCUUUGAUCUGCGGGCGGCUGACGGGGGUGGAUAUAGCACGUGCAGAAAAUCUCGGCCGGCGAUGCUAUCUACAGACCCACUAUCCUCCAGAGAUGUGGCGAAAAUCAAAAGACUUCGGACACAAACGCGUUUUCAUUGAAACCGCUUUGAGCGCGAUGCUUUACACCUGAUAACCGGCCAAAAAAAUGAAAAAAGUAAAAAAAAGCCUCCAUUGAGGCCGCCACAGGACUGUGAUGUAAUCAGACUCUGAAUCCCCCUCUGCCCCUGCGAUUUGCCGUACGUGAUAUUGUUAAAAGCUUUUAAUUGAAGUCAUCUUCUUGCUCAAAACAGCAGGUGAUGGUUCCCCGAGCUCUCCCAACAUCCCGCCAUUCCUUCGCGUCCCUCUAGCCAAGUUAUUUUAAUAAACUGCGCUACGUGCCGGGCAUUCUGAAAUGCGAUCAGUUUCAAUUUUAUUAUUGCCGCUGCUCUGCGGUUGCUUCUGCUUUGGCUGCUUUUAGAUUAUGUAGUUCCAGCACUUGUAAGUGUUGUUAGAAGCCAGCCCCGAAGAGGAGUGCCCCGGACACGGCUGACCAGGCCCAACGUGCUCAUUUAACAGUAGCCAGCAAACGUCCAUAUUUCCCUGUUGUUUGUACCUCUUUGUAUAAUAAUUUAAAGCGGCGUAAAAAUAUUUUAAUGAUAAGAUAUAAUAGCCGUUCAGCUGGCGGAGGCGCUUCGCUUUAGCCCAAGUCAAACAAAGCGUUUGCAAGGGCUUUUAGAAUGGAAGAUUGGCGCGGGCUAGGAAUUUUAACUCCGGCUUUGGGUAAUAACAUAAUAAUGGGAAAAUAAGCCUUUGAAACUCUGCGAUAUCAUUUGAUAUAAUAUGACAUUUAUAGGCAAUGGUUCCCAUUAUUCAAAUUGCUAGCAUACUUCAAGGUGCUAGAAAGUUACUAAAAUAACAUUGUAUUAUAUUCGAGUAGGAAAUGUUUAACUCCCCACAAUACUGAACUAUAAACCCCUUAAAAUAAUGUUCUAUUAUAUAAGGACUUUUAAAUCCAUUUAAUAAUAUUG